AUGGCUGCUCAAGAACAAGCACAACAGAAUGUUGAAACUUUCAUCCAAUGUGACAUUUGUGGUGAAUUUUAUAAACAAGGUGAAAAGCACGAACACUGCACUGAACAAAUUAAGAAGGAGGAGGGUAUCAACGAUGAAACAUAUAUUAAACAGGAGCAGAAUACGCUCAUCCAAUGUGAUCUUUGUAAGAUAUCUUAUACAGAUGGAGAGAAUCAUGAGCAAUCUCCCGAACACAUUGAAAGGAUGUCCACCAUGAAGGACACCUCAUCACCUGCCGAUGACAACAACGAUGACAAUCAAGAAUAUUGUGACACGUGCAAGAUCCCAUAUCAUAAAAGAGAAAAACAUGAAGAAUCUGCAACUCACAUAAGAAACUUAUUCCAGACGAAAGUACCCAUAGUUCAAGUCGAGACUGCCUGUCAAAACAGGUUGAAAACAUUUUUCAUCACAAACCUCCAACCGGAGAUUCUCAUCAUUGAUGAGUACCUAGUUUCAGCUAAAGACCUCAUCAUCGGAAAGAUUGUAGAAGAACUCACCAAAGACUCAUUGAAAGUAAAUAUACUACUUUAUGCUGAAUAUGAAAAAGCUGAUGAUAAGGACAAGGAAGGAAUGCAGUUGAAAAAGUUCAAGACUAAAAACGAAGCUAUUUUCGCGUCAACAGAUCUAAACGAGUAUUAUCAAAACUUCAGGGCCAAGAUUAAUAAGGAGUCAUUCGACUUCCAUAUGAAUGGAUCCGGGUGGGUAUUAAAGAAGAUCCAGGGAAUGGAGUUAAGAGUCAACCGUUACUAUGCUUUACACCGAGGUGGAACAUACGUUAAGCUUCCGUUUUGCACCAACAAUGUUGUCAAUGUAAAUAAUGGUGAAUAUAAUGAUUGUUUCAUCUUCGCAAUGCUAGGAAAGUUCAUUCCCAAAGAGGCGCAGCAUAAAUAUCGUCCUGAUUAAUAUGUAAAUAUACUUAACCAUUACGAUUUUUCCUGUGUUCAUUUCCCCACAAGCAUAGAUGAUAUUAUAAAAUUCGAAAAAAGGAACAACGUUCAAAACGAACAAAAGCAUAGAUGAUAUUAUAAAAUUCGAAAAAAGGAACAACGUUCAAAACGAACAAAAAGGAACUCAGCUCCAUAGACACUUCCGAUGCGGCCAGGUUACAUGAAAUAACCGAAGGAUUGUAUAAAGUCCUUUCAGAAGUGCAUACAUGAGUUAUCGGACACAUGAGUCCAACGGUUGUUACCGGGAAAUAUCAGAAUGGAUUAUCAUAACUUGUGUAGGUUUCAUUUCUUUACAUAUUCAACCAACCACAAAGCAACAAAUAUUCCACGCUAAAAAUACAGUGUCCAAACUUAGCGUUUUACUAUUCAUCUCAAAACGAUACUGAAAAAGAUUGGGAACUGUACGAGGUCUGUCCGGAAAAAAAAAAUCGAUAAUUUUUUAUUAAUUCAGAUUUUAAUGCAGGUAAUUGUCUGGACUUUAUCCUCCUCUAUAUCACAAUUUCACAACAGAACUUCGUUAGCUUUCAAUCGGACAUUAGAAAGAAUUGAUUAAAAUAUGCGUGUCAAGUGCCAUGCUCGCGUUUCCUUUUAUUUAUUUAUUUUUUUCCGUAAAAUAUGUGAGGGUGAAGAUUCAUUAAAUUUUACUUCAAAUGGGGAAAACUGAGUCUUGGAUCUACGGAUACAACCCUGAGAUACAAUCACAGUCCUCAAAUUGGACUGCACCGUGGACAUCAUGAAUAUAUUCCUCGGGGUACAAUGAUCAUAUAGAAGAAACUGACCAGGAAACUUUACAACGUUUGUGGGAUGCUAUCAUGUAAAUACGUCCUGAAUAAACACUUCGAGAGCGCUGAAGGGUAUAUUCAAAGGAGACUUAUUGGAGUACUUAAAAAGAAAAACUUCAGUACCUAUUGCUAAAACAAGUGUAUUGUAUCCUGAGGAGAAUAUUUUGAAUGGAAAUUGAGGAAAAAUACCAUGAGUGGUUCAAUCAAAAUCCUUGGUACAAUCUCAAAAUGAACAGUUCUUACUCGGUUUCUGCAUUCAUCGUUAACUCCAGUGGAAAAUAUCCUGUAUUUGGAAUUCUUGCAGGAGGAUACAAUGGAAAUAAGAAUGUUUGCUAUAUAAAAACUCCUUUGAAAAAUGUUUUGAUCAGGAUUUACGAGGACAAAGAAACACUCCUUGCCGACGGGCUCAUUUUCAUUACUUUUAAAAAAAAUCUGGACAUUUUGUGUUCGGUUGUAAAACAAUCAUUCCUGAAAUUUAUUGUUCAUUUUUCGAUUCGGACCUAGGUGAACUUUCCGGAAUAAUAAACUCUCGCCCAAAGCUGUCCGAAUAAUUGGGGUUUUUUAUGACUCAUUUUUCAUUUCGUCAAGCUUCCAGGUAACUUAAUUUUCAUAUGAGAAGCCAUGAGUUUGCUUCAAUCAGUAGUUAUCACCUCUAAGAGAAUAAUUCAAAGAUGUUCAUUUUUCGAUUCGAACCUAGGUGAAAUUUCCGGAACAAUAAACUCAUGCUCAAAGCUGCUCGAACAAUUGGGGGUUUUUAUGACUCAUUAUUCAUUUCUUCAAGCUUCCAGGUAACUUAAUUUUCAUACGAGAAGCCACGCGUUUGCUUCAAUCAGUAGUUAUCACCUGUAAGAGAAUAAUUCAAAGAUGUUCAUUUUUCGAUUCGAACGUAGGUGAACUUUCCGGAACAAUAAACUCUCGCCAAAAGCUGCCCGAAUAAUUGGCCCUUCGUAAGAAAUGCUCGCAUACAACAUUGCACCCACUUAAAUAAAGUGAAAGAAAAGUAAGUAUUUUUUUUUCACUCUUUUUCUCCUUUCCGUAUAUCAAUUAUUUUUCUUUGAAAGUUUUUUCUUUGUUUUUGAUAUUAUUAAAGGAUGAUUAUACGAUAAUGUUGCAAGUUUAAUCUUUACCAUCUCAAUUUUUUAAGAUUUUGGGUCAUAGUAAAAAAUCAAGAUCAUCGAUUAGGCAUCGAUUUUCCCCUAUACAGCUGAAUAUCGGUAUAUUUCCCUUUAAAGCUAUA
rnacentral:lncRNA from 1 species